rnacentral:rRNA from 1 species
UACGUAGGGGGCCAGCGUUGUCCGGAAUCAUUGGGCGUAAAGAGCGCGUAGGCGGUCCGAUAAGUCGGCUGUGAAAGUCAGGGGCUCAACCCUUGAAAGCCGGCCGAUACUGUCGGACUAGAGUCCGGAAGAGGCAAGUGGAAUUCCCGGUGUAGCGGUGAAAUGCGUAGAGAUCCGGAGGAACACCGACGGCGUAGGCAGCGCCCUGGACGACACCUGACGCUGAGGCACGAAAGCUGGGGGAGCAAAAGGG